UACGAAGGGGGCUAGCGUUGCUCGGAAUCACUGGGCGUAAAGCGCACGUAGGCGGAUUGUUAAGUCAGGGGUGAAAUCCUGGAGCUCAACUCCAGAACUGCCUUUGAUACUGGCGAUCUCGAGUCCGGGAGAGGUGAGUGGAACUGCGAGUGUAGAGGUGAAAUUCGUAGAUAUCGCAAGAACACCAGUGGCGAAGGCGGCUCACUGGCCCGGUACUGACGCUGAGGUGCGAAAGCGUGGGGAGCAAAGCAGGGAUUAAG
rnacentral:rRNA from 1 species